CCCUUAGAGUUUGAUCCUGGCUCAGGAUGAACGCUGGCGGCGUGCCUAACACAUGCAAGUCGAACGAAGCAAUUAAAAUGAAGUUUUCGGAUGGAUUUUUAAUUGACUGAGUGGCGGACGGGUGAGUAACGCGUGGAUAACCUGCCUCACACUGGGGGAUAACAGUUAGAAAUGACUGCUAAUACCGCAUAAGCGCACAGUACCGCAUGGUACGGUGUGAAAAACUCCGGUGGUGUGAGAUGGAUCCGCGUCUGAUUAGCCAGUUGGCGGGGUAACGGCCCACCAAAGCGACGAUCAGUAGCCGACCUGAGAGGGUGACCGGCCACAUUGGGACUGAGACACGGCCCAAACUCCUACGGGAGGCAGCAGUGGGGAAUAUUGCACAAUGGGCGAAAGCCUGAUGCAGCGACGCCGCGUGAGUGAAGAAGUAUUUCGGUAUGUAAAGCUCUAUCAGCAGGGAAGAAAAUG
rnacentral:rRNA from 1 species